rnacentral:tRNA from 2 species
UCCCUGGUAGCUCAGUGGUAGAGCGGCUCGCUGUUAACGAGAUGGUCGGGGGUUCGAAUCCCUCCCGGGGAG